AUUGAACGCUGGCGGCCUGCCUAACACAUGCAAGUCGAGCGAGCGGCGGACGGGCGAGUAAUGUAUGGGGCUCUGCCCGAUAUAGGGGGAUAACUACUGGAAACGGUGGCUAAUACCGCAUACUUUCGGUUGAACCCAUAUGGGAUUAGCUAGUAGGUGGGGUAAAGGUUCACCUAGGCGACGAUCUCUAGCUGGUCUGAGAGGAUGAUCAGCCACACUGGGACUGAGACACGGCCCAGAAUCCUACGGGAGGCAGCAGGGGGGAAUAUUGCACAAUGGGCGCAAGCCUGAUGCAGCCAUGCCGCGUGUAUGAAGAAGGCCUUAGGGUUGUAAAGUACUUUCGGCGGGGAGGCGUUACCCGCAGAGGAAGCACCGGCUAACUCCGUGCCAGCAGCCGCGGUAAUUC
rnacentral:rRNA from 1 species